rnacentral:lncRNA from 1 species
ACUCGUUGAACAGGUUGUAAUGUUUACACGGGGAAUACCCUCUUACGCCCCAGUCACGUAACUACGUAAUGUUCAAGUCGUUUCUAGAAGCUGUCACGGCAUCCUCGCUCAAUUGGAGCAGAAAGAUCAUGAACCUGCUGUUAUUAUGUUUAACGAUGAACGUUCUAGCUUCAGCAAAAUCGUUCACAGCCGAGCAAGAUUCAAACAUUACUCUGAGUUGUCCAGUCAAGGAGCCACAUGAGAUGAUCAGUGUCAUUCAGCCAGAUGGUUUUAAUGGCCUACAUUGCAAGUCCUACAACAGUUGUUCCAACAGCCUCCAUGGCCUUGUCUUUGAAAGACAUCUCACCAACGCAAGCAUCCUAGUGUUUACCAUACCUUCUGUGCAACUAAAGCACAGGGGAAACUGGACCUGCAGGAACAAUGGUGUGGAUAUGGAAGUGUUUCGUCUCUAUGUGAAUGUAAGGACUACAACCUUACCCACUGCUACUACAGGGGCGACAUCUACUUCAGGUCAGAAGAACUUGCAGUCGAGGUUAUUGCAGAUUAUUGUUCUUCAACUUGUUUGUUCGCACAUAAAGGAUGGAAGGUGACGGAAAGAGACAGAACCAAAUCUUUUAUAAAAAUGUUGUACAUAUAUGAAUACGGGUACAUGUAAAGGAAUAUAUUAUGGCUCGGGUGUGAACACUUGGAGUACACUUUGUAAACACAAAAGCGACAAAGUCGUGACUGCGGUAAAAUGGAACGUUAAUCUGGACAGUCGUUCUGUUGUGUGUGGAAAUUGCCAGUUUUCAAUAAUGACGUCAAGGAUGUGUGAACGGUAAUCCCGACAGUGGUAAUUCUGAUUAUUUGAAACUCUCCAGUCCAGAGUAAUCAGGUUCUGUUGUGUGUGUAAAUUGCCAAUUUAAAAUACUGGCGUGAAGGAUGUGUGAACGGUAAUCCAACAGUCGUAAUUCCGAUGAUUUGAAACUCUUCAGUCAAGAUAAACCAGGUUCUGUUGUGUGUGAAAUUUUGCCAGUUUACAAAUAAUGACGUCAUGGAUGUGUGUUUCACAUAGGCGGAUCAGAGAGGGUGGGGGGUGUAGGGGUGCGCACCCGCCUUUUGUCCUGAAAGUUUAUUAAAUGAGCAAUUGAAAUUCUCGAGAAAAUGGGUGGAAAUGAACUGUGCACCCCCCCUUUCAGAACUGCACGCCCCUCCUUUCUCAAAACACUGUAUCUACCCGUUUCAAUGUUUACGCCCCAUGCUCACUCCGCUUAUCUCAUCAGUUGUGUUCACAGAACACCUGGAAGAAUUUUCAUGUGACAUGAACAAAUCUGGGUGAACAAGGACAUUUUGUGAUGCUGUGAUGUGAUUUCUAUUUACAGACUUUAUGUUAGCCACAUGGUGUGUGACAGAUUCGUGAAUGUAAAACAUACCAUGGAUGCUUCUUUGAGUGGAAGUUUAGAAGUUGGAAGUCAGAUAGAACAAGUAUAUAUGGAUAAAUAUAAGAAGCUGUCAUCCAUAUAUACUUGUUCUAUGCCAUGGAUGUUUUACCGCAUCGACCGGAUUGUACACCGUUGAACGCAAACACUGUAGGAAAUACAUGCUAUGACCGGAUUUGUGUUUGAGUGCAAAUAUUUCCUAACUUCGGGCAUAUAUUUCAUACAAUGUUUGAUACAAUGUUUACACCUUUGAAACAUGCGCUCGCCGUCUUGCACUGGAACCAUUGUAUGGAUGUGUCACUCGGACAUGGGAAAGGAUUAAAUCUAAUUAUUGAACUACCAGUUUUCCAAUUAAAUAUAAGUGACCUAAAAUGCCAUUUUUGGUUAGAAGUAUGUAUGGGAGGGUUGGUAGUGUUAGGUGUGUGUUAGUGUCCAGUGAACUCUGGGGCACCAUUUUGUGUUGUUGGUAGUGUAUGAAGUUUAGUAACACGUGUUUGGGCGUUUCUGUUUCGUCGCAAUGUGUGCAUUUGUCUGUUUGGUGUUUUGUGGGUUUUUUAAAUGUAGAAUGUUUUUGUUUAAGUUUUAAAAUUAGGUAUUUACUUUAGGAAGAUUAUAUUUUGCUAUGAUAG